rnacentral:lncRNA from 1 species
UGUGACUCUCUAGAACAUGGCAACCAUGUAAUCUUCCUAUCUGGAGCAGCACCGACCCAUUUUCCUGAUGAGAAACUGUGUUUAGGAUGUGACUCUCUAGAACAUGGCAACCAUGUAAUCUUCCUAACUGGAGCAGCACCGACCCGUUUUCCUGAUGAGAAACUGUGUUUAGCAUGUGGCUCUCUAGAACUUGGCAACCAUGUAAUCUUCCUAUCUGGAGCAGCACCGAACAAUUUUCCUGAAGAGAAACUGUGUUUAGCAUGUGGCUCUCUAGAACUUGGCAACCAUGUAAUCUUCCUAUCUGGAGCAGCACAGACCCGUUUUCCUGAUGAGAAACUGUGUUUAGGAUGUGGCUCUCUAGAACUUGGCAACCAUGUAAUCUUCCAAUCUGGAGCAGCACCGACCCAUUUUCCUGAUGAGAAACUGUGUUUAGCAUGUGGCUCUCUAGAACUUGGCAACCAUGUAAUCUUCCUAUCUGGAGCAGCACAGACCCGUUUUCCUGAUGAGAAACUGUGGUGAGUAUCAUUUAUAUCGCGAACAACAG